CUCAGUCAUGUCCUGAUCAUCCAGACAGAUGUGAUGGCGCCCUCUUCAGGUUCUGUGUGGAAAUGUUCUGACUGCUCGCUGUUACUGGGAUGUUAGUGGAGAGGAGACGUUUGUCAGUGAGUUCCAGAGGAACCAGAAGGAGAGGAACCAGUAAAGACGGCGUGUUGGGAGGAAAUGAAUCCUCAUGGAGUCUGAGCUGCUCUCAUCGUCAUGGUUACGCUGUCUCUCACAAUAACAGAUGAACAGCAUGUCCUCCUCCUCCGUCUCCAGCAGUAGCAGCGUAUGUGGAGCGUCCUGCUGGAACUCUGUCCUUCUACAGAGUCUCCUCUGACUCUGAUCUUCCUCCACAUCUUCAUCAGCACCUUCAUCAUCCUCUGCUUCCUGGGUUUGGCUUCUUGUUCAGCUUGUUUUCUUCCUCAGUGUUUGUGUUGUGUAAAGAGUUUGAUCCUGUCAGACAUUAUUAACCAGAGUUCAGUCUGGAAGCGUCUGUCUUCUUCAGAAACAGCCUUUCAGAUUCACGUAUGAAACUCUUCUAGAUGAUUCCUUGGAUGUUUCCUGUUUUCCCUCCUUUAAAGAUAGAAGCUGGGAUUCUUCCAGGAUCAACUGGACAUGGUACCUGGGUUCAGUCUCUCCUUCCUGGUGCAGCAAAGGCCUGGUCCAGGUCUGAGGACUGAUAAACUACUGCAGCUUCAUUGGAUUCCACCACAACCCCCCUAUGACACUGCAGAGUCAUUGGGGGGGUUUGGGUUCAUUUUGAGGAUGAACUUGAUGAAUUCACACAAGAUAAGAGCAAAGUCCGGCCAUGGUGUUAUUGGAGGUCGCCCUGUUCUCAUGUACACACUUCCCGAGAUGUAUGGU